UCCAUUCUCCCUUUUUUCUCAAACUCUUUUAUUUUCAUUUUUCUCCUACUUCGUUUGUUUCAUUUCCACAACUCCAUCAAUUUCUUCAAUUAAUCAAUCAAGCCAGGCCUUUUCUCAUCAAUUUUUUUCGCCUCUGCAUUGGACAGAGGAACAACCAUCGCGGACCGACCAGAAUUCGGUGAUCAGUUAACCGGAACCGCAAACAAAUUCAACUGUAGAUUUCACCUUUCUUUGCUUCUAAUUUCGGAGCGAAGAAGUACAAGUGAGCAGAAGAAUCAAAUUAAUCUUGCGCAAUCUUGGAGCCAUGAAUUAUCUGUAUCCAGUUAAGGGAGAGUAUCCAGUGGCGAGUUCUUCUUCGUCUUCUUCGAUAGGUGACGGCGGGGGCGAUGGUGCGGCGGCGGCGAUGAUGGCUCUGCCGCAGCCAAUGGAGGGCCUCCACGACGUGGGGCCACCGCCGUUCCUGACGAAGACGUACGACAUGGUGGAUGAUCCGACGACCAAUCGCAUAGUGGCUUGGAGCAGAGAUGGCGGUAGCUUUGUCGUUUGGGACCCUCAUUCGUUUUCUGUGAAUCUGCUUCCCAGAUAUUUUAAGCACAACAACUUUUCAAGUUUUGUUAGGCAGCUCAAUACUUAUGGCUUUAGGAAGAUUGAUCCAGACAGGUGGGAAUUUGCCAAUGAAGGGUUCGUAAGAGGCCAAAGGCAUCUGCUGAGGAACGUCAGGAGAAGAAGAGGUCCUAGUUCUCAGCCACUAAUUCCCUCUGACCAGCAACAAGCAGCUGCCUUAGGGCCUUGUGUUGAGCUAGGCCGGUUCGGUCCCGACGGAGAAAUAGACCGGCUGAGGCGCGAUAAGCAAGUCCUAAUGAUGGAACUAGUCAAGCUUAGACACCAGCAACAGAACACAAGAGCACAUCUCCAAGCAAUGGAGCAACGACUGCAAGGCACUGAAAUGAAGCAGCAACAGAUGAUGGCUUUCUUGGCAAGAGCAAUGCAGAACCCGGCUUUUCUCCAGCAAUUGGUCCAGCAAAAGGAGAGGCGAAAAGCGCUCGAGGAAGCCAUGACCAAGAAGAGAAGGAGACCAAUUGACCAAGGGCCUAGUACUAGUAGUGGCUCUAGUGAGGUUGGACCAACAAGCGCCAUAAAGAUGGAGCCUCUUGAUCAUGUUGUUGGGGAUUAUGGAUUUGAAGUGUCCGAGCUCGAAGCGCUUGCGCUCGAGAUGCAAGGGUUCGGGAAGGCGAGGAAAGAGGAGGGAGAUGAGGAAGAGCUUGAGCCUCUGGAGAGUGGGGAUAGGGAACUUGAUGAGGGGUUUUGGGAAGAACUGUUUAGUGAGGGUGUUAAGGGUAGUGAUGAUGAGGAUGUUAAUGUGUUGGCUGAUCGUUUUGAUUACUUGGGUUCUAGCCCAAGUUAAAAAAAUAAUUAAAAAAAAAAGAGAUUAAAAAUAAUGCUAAUAAUAAUUCUACUAGGCCAAUGACUGUUUUUGAUCUGGGUUAAUUUCUUGUUGUUGACAGAAAGGACAAUUUGGGGACUCAAAGAGCAGUGUAGUACUGGUGGAAAUCAUCUUGUUUCUGGUGUCUCUAACCCCUAUUACUUGCUUUCUUCUGUCUUUCAUAGUUUUCCUUCUUCAUUUUGUACAUCUUUUUCCCUCUCAUUUUUCUCUAUCUUGGUUAGGUGCGAAGCGUUGAUUUGGACAGAAGGCUAUGAAAGCUGUUGAUCUGGACAAAGAUGUACCUGCGAGGUCCGAGAACCACAACUGAAAUUUUGUUUUUUGCAUCCAAGUUGCUGUUGGUAGUUAACACCAUAUGUCGGUUUGAUAUUUUUUUUCUCUCGUCUUUAUCUUCUUUGAAUUGCCCUUUAAUUUAUUGCUUUUGUGAUGCACCAUAAAGAUCAGAAAUGGUCGGUGGCACAUUUCAAUUCUUCAUGACGCCACAUAUAUAUUUACAAUGUAGAUUUUUUGAUGCCAUGGAAAUCUG